rnacentral:rRNA from 1 species
UACAGAGGGUGCGAGCGUUAAUCGGAAUUACUGGGCGUAAAGCGCGCGUAGGCGGCUUUGCAAGUCGGGUGUGAAAUCCCCAGGCUUAACCUGGGAACUGCAUUCGAGACUGCAUUGCUAGAGUAUGGGAGAGGGAAGUGGAAUUUCCGGUGUAGCGGUGAAAUGCGUAGAGAUCCGGAGGAACACCGAAAGCGAAGGCAGUCUCCUGGCAAGUUUCUGACGCUCAGGUGCGAAAGCUAGGGGAGCGAACAGG